AAACCAACAAGAACUGCUAACUCU
rnacentral:tRNA from 1 species